AACCUGAACAUGAAGAAUAUACGAAUGCAUCUGUGAUGGACUAAUGAGAAUAAAUUAGGGGAAAAAAAGUACUUCACACAAUCAAAGUA